rnacentral:rRNA from 1 species
GAUGAACGCUAGCUACAGGCUUAACACAUGCAAGUCGAGGGGAAACGAUAUUGGAAGCUUGCUUCCGAUGGGCGUCGACCGGCGCACGGGUGAGUAACGCGUAUCCAACCUGCCCACCACUUGGGGAUAACCUUGCGAAAGUAAGACUAAUACCCAAUGACGUCUCUAGAAGACAUCUGAAAGAGAUUAAAGAUUUAUCGGUGAUGGAUGGGGAUGCGUCUGAUUAGCUUGUUGGCGGGGUAACGGCCCACCAAGGCGACGAUCAGUAGGGGUUCUGAGAGGAAGGUCCCCCACAUUGGAACUGAGACACGGUCCAAACUCCUACGGGAGGCAGCAGUGAGGAAUAUUGGUCAAUGGACGAGAGUCUGAACCAGCCAAGUAGCGUGCAGGAUGACGGCCCUAUGGGUUGUAAACUGCUUUUAUAAGGGAAUAAAGUUAGUCUCGUGAGAC